rnacentral:rRNA from 1 species
UACGUAGGGUGCGAGCGUUAAUCGGAAUUACUGGGCGUAAAGUGUGCGCAGGCGGCCGAGCAAGUCGAGUGUGAAAGCCCCGAGCUUAACUUGGGAACUGCGCUCGAAACUACUUGGCUAGAGUGUGGCAGAGGGAGGUGGAAUUCCACGUGUAGCGGUGAAAUGCGUAGAUAUCGGGAGGAACACCAGUGGCGAAGGCGGCUUCCUGGCCUGUUCUUGACGCUGAGGCGCGAAAGCUAGGGGAGCAAACGGG